AGGAUUCAAAAUAUAGUGGAAGGAUUAACAAUAGCCUCUUCAGCAAUAGGCAAAGAUGCCAAAAUACUUAUACACCGGAAAUCUUACCAGACAUUCCCUUCUCUUCAUCACUAUCUCCAUAGUUGUCUUGGUCAUUCCCAUUGUCCUGCUUAGAUACAGCUGAAUCCCGUUGUGGUGGAGCACUAGUAACACCAGUUACAGAUUGCUGAUAAAGAACCCCACCCGCAAUAGUCAUCAACAAACACCCUAAACCAAACGGACUAGCAUGCUUAUCCCAAAUAAGAACAUUAAUUGCAACAGUCAAAAACUUAUUCACAACCCCAGUUACUGUAAAAGCAGUAGCAGAUAUCGCCUUCCUCGCGGCAAAUCCAAAGAAACUAAUAAGCAAUCCAAACACACACGACAACGAAACCGCCACAAGCGCAACAGGAUGAAACAAAUUCCCUUUUCCAUUCAAUCCCAUCGCAAUAAACACAUCAACAUACUCCCCAGUAAUAAUCCAAA
rnacentral:misc_RNA from 1 species